GACGAACGCUGGCGGCGUGCUUAACACAUGCAAGUCGAACGAUGACGACCGAGCUUGCUCGGUCUGAUUAGUGGCGAACGGGUGAGUAACACGUGAGCAACCUGCCCUUCACUCUGGGAUAACCUCGGGAAAUCGAGGCUAAUACCGGAUAUGAGCUCCUGUCGCAUGGCGGGUGUUGGAAAGUUUUUCGGUGAAGGAUGGGCUCGCGGCCUAUCAGUUUGUUGGUGAGGUAGUGGCUCACCAAGGCGAUGACGGGUAGCCGGCCUGAGAGGGCGACCGGCCACACUGGGACUGAGACACGGCCCAGACUCCUACGGGAGGCAGCAGUGGGGAAUAUUGCACAAUGGGCGAAAGCCUGAUGCAGCGACGCCGCGUGAGGGAUGACGGCCUUCGGGUUGUAAACCUCUUUCAGCAGGGAAGAAGCGAAAGUGACGGUACCUGCAGAAGAAGCGCCGGCUAACUACGUG
rnacentral:rRNA from 1 species